rnacentral:rRNA from 1 species
ACGAGUGGCGGACGGGUGAGUAACACGUGGGUAACCUGCCCUUAAGUGGGGGAUAACAUUUGGAAACAGAUGCUAAUACCGCAUAAAUCCAAGAACCGCAUGGUUCUUGGCUGAAAGAUGGCGUAAGCUAUCGCUUUUGGAUGGACCCGCGGCGUAUUAGCUAGUUGGUGAGGUAACGGCUCACCAAGGCAAUGAUACGUAGCCGAACUGAGAGGUUGAUCGGCCACAUUGGGACUGAGACACGGCCCAAACUCCUACGGGAGGCAGCAGUAGGGAAUCUUCCACAAUGGACGCAAGUCUGAUGGAGCAACGCCGCGUGAGUGAAGAAGGCUUUCGGGUCGUAAAACUCUGUUGUUGGAGAAGAAUGGUCGGCAGAGUAACUGUUGUCGGCGUGACGGUAUCCAACCAGAAAGCCACGGCUAACUACGUGCCAGCAGCCGCGGUAAUACGUAGGUGGCAAGCGUUAUCCGGAUUUAUUGGGCGUAAAGCGAGCGCAGGCGGUUUUUUAAGUCUGAUGUGAAAGCCCUCGGCUUAACCGAGGAAGUGCAUCGGAAACUGGGAAACUUGAGUGCAGAAGAGGACAGUGGAACUCCAUGUGUAGCGGUGAAAUGCGUAGAUAUAUGGAAGAACACCAGUGGCGAAGGCGGCUGUCUGGUCUGUAACUGACGCUGAGGCUCGAAAGCAUGGGUAGCGAACAGGAUUAGAUACCCUGGUAGUCCAUGCCGUAAACGAUGAAUGCUAGGUGUUGGAGGGUUUCCGCCCUUCAGUGCCGCAGCUAACGCAUUAAGCAUUCCGCCUGGGGAGUACGACCGCAAGGUUGAAACUCAAAGGAAUUGACGGGGGCCCGCACAAGCGGUGGAGCAUGUGGUUUAAUUCGAAGCAACGCGAAGAACCUUACCAGGUCUUGACAUCUUUUGAUCACCUGAGAGAUCAGGUUUCCCCUUCGGGGGCAAAAUGACAGGUGGUGCAUGGUUGUCGUCAGCUCGUGUCGUGAGAUGUUGGGUUAAGUCCCGCAACGAGCGCAACCCUUAUGACUAGUUGCCAGCAUUUAGUUGGGCACUCUAGUAAGACUGCCGGUGACAAACCGGAGGAAGGUGGGGAUGACGUCAAAUCAUCAUGCCCCUUAUGACCUGGGCUACACACGUGCUACAAUGGAUGGUACAACGAGUUGCGAGACCGCGAGGUCAAGCUAAUCUCUUAAAGCCAUUCUCAGUUCGGACUGUAGGCUGCAACUCGCCUACACGAAGUCGGAAUCGCUAGUAAUCGCGGAUCAGCACGCCGCGGUGAAUACGUUCCCGGGCCUUGUACACACCGCCCGUCACACCAUGAGAGUUUGUAACACCCGAAGCCGG